UGUGGCAUCUCUCUGAACCCCCUCGACCGUCCGAGCUUCCAUAAUGCCAUCCGGACUUCUCCGACAAUGAGCCUCUCCAUUCAUCUACCGGGCCGCUCCAAACACUCUCUGAGCUUCACUAUCAGCCGAUCUUCUACAGUAAUCAACUAUUCUCCGAAUCUCUUCCAGACUUCUCCCACCCACGAUCAACUUUACUCCAGACUCUUUUCGGGCUUCGUCGAUGUCCGAGCUUUCCCAACAACAGGGCUUCUGCAGUAGCCAAGUUUCAUCCAAGUUUCUACGACGGUCGACCGC
rnacentral:lncRNA from 1 species